GGCCGCCUGGCGAAAUGGCAUCGCGUCUGACUACGAUCAUGUGAUCAUGUGACAUCAGGAGAUUGCAGGUUCGACCCCUGCGGUGGUCA